UCUUACACAAAUAUUAUACACAUUAAACCAAAGACUGAAACGACACAUAUGACCUAUAUAUAUUCAACUCCACGCACCAAAGGAUAAUAUCAAUCUCAUCUCUAUUAUUGCAUCCUAUACAUAUACCAAAGAAACAAAGUAAUAUAAUCUGUACUUUAUUUUUCUUGAGCCAUGCCGGAAUCCAACUUGAACGGAGCAUAUUAUGGCCCUUCCAUUCCGCCACCAGCAAAAUCCUAUCACCGCCACGGCCGCGGCAGCAGCUGCAACCCAUGUAGCUGUCUCUUUGGCUGCCUCUGCAAUUGUUUUUUCAAAAUUAUCUUCACCCUUCUGAUCAUCCUCGGAGUCAUUGCAUUAGUUCUCUGGCUCGUUCUUCGUCCUAACAAAGUCAAAUUCUACGUGACCGAUGCCACGUUGACACAGUUCGAUUUGUCCAACACAAACAACACUAUUUUCUAUGAUCUUGCUCUUAAUAUGACUAUUAGAAACCCCAACAAGCGUAUUGGAAUUUACUAUGAUUCAAUUGAAGCUAGAGCUAUGUAUCAAGGCGAGAGGUUUCAUAGUACAAAUUUGGAACCAUUUUAUCAGGGUCACAAGAAUACUAGCAGCUUGCAUCCAGUGUUCAAAGGUCAAAGCUUGGUUCUAUUGGGAGACAGAGAGAAAUCCAAUUACAAUAAUGAGAAGAAUUUAGGAGUUUAUGAGAUGGAAGUGAAGCUUUACAUGCGUAUUAGGCUAAAGGCUGGUUGGAUCAAAACACACAAAAUUAAGCCAAAGAUUGAGUGUGAUUUCAAGGUUCCUCUGGAGUCUAAUGGCAGAUCAUCAUCUGCUAAUUUCGAGGAAACUAGAUGCCAUCUUGAUUGGUAGUUUUCUUCUAUCAUCGCACCAUUAUUGAUCGUCUUCACAUUUCGAUGGAGUUUGCUUCUGUUUUUUCAUUAUUUUUAUAUAUUUAGAUUUGUUCUAUUUCCUAUAUUCUUUGGAUAUUAGCAGAUAUUCUUGAUUAUGGGAUUUCUAUCCCUUUUGUUUUUCCGGCGUUUAGUGUUCAUUGAUAUACAUGGUACCAUCUUGUUAUAUUUGGAUAUGGUUGUAUGUAAAUAAAUAAUGAGUUCGUCUAUAUUUUUGCUGA